rnacentral:tRNA from 1 species
AACAUAGUAUUUUAUAAAGAAUGGCGAGUUUGCGUCUCGUUGGUGGUCUCGGCUCUUUGUUA